UAGGGAAUCUUCCGCAAUGGACGCAAGUCUGACGGAGCAACGCCGCGUGAGUGAAGAAGGAUUUCGGUUCGUAAAACUCUGUUGUUAGAGAAGAACAGCGCAUAGAGUAACUGUUAUGCGUGUGACGGUAUCUAACCAGAAAGCCACGGCUAACUACGUGCCAGCAGCCGCGGUAAUACGUAGGUGGCAAGCGUUGUCCGGAUUUAUUGGGCGUAAAGCGAGCGCAGGCGGUCAAUUAAGUCUGAUGUGAAAGCCCCCGGCUCAACCGGGGAGGGUCAUUGGAAACUGGUUGACUUGAGUGCAGAAGAGGAGAGUGGAAUUCCAUGUGUAGCGGUGAAAUGCGUAGAUAUAUGGAGGAACACCAGUGGCGAAGGCGACUCUCUGGUCUGUAACUGACGCUGAGGCUCGAAAGCGUGGGUAGCAAACAGU
rnacentral:rRNA from 1 species